GCCCUCUCAUGUUUAAGUUGGUAUGUGUGAAAUUUGACAGAAUCUUUAGUAAGAGUUUUAACAAGUUUCCUGUAUUCUUCAAUAGACUUAACCAUAACUCUCACAUGACCAUCGCGUUGUACUUUAUAAAAGAAAAGCUCUUUUUUAAUUGUAGUCUCGAGGUAAACCAGCAUUCCUUUUAUAUCACUGACUUCAGAUAAGAAUAUAGGUGGCGGCUUGGCAGAUUCAGUUAGGUUAUCUUCAGUUAUCAUGUCCAGUGCUUCGUUUUCAACUUCAUUUCCAUUAUUUGGCGUGCUGUCGCUUAGGAGGGCAUAUUGAUUGGAGCUGGUGCUGGGUGCUAAGUCCAUAGCGAUUUUUUUCUUAAGUAGAAUAGGAGAGACUUGGUUUUGUCUCUUGACUGCCUUUGACUUCAAUUUUACUCUCUGCCAGUUCCAAACCGUUGUGUCGUCUUCGUCGUCGUUCAUGAUAACAACAAGACUUUGUUAUUGCUUAUCAGUAACCACUAUUUUGUUUGCUUUUGUGUUGUGAAUCGAAUAGUACUUUUGCUUUAUAUUUACGAACUGAAAGUUUUUGCUAAGGCAACUUCGGCUCAAAAAUUUACUUUUAUUUCCGAAAUUUUAUUUUCACUUUCUCUCCUAGAUGUUGCUCCUACGAGCAGCUCCGUUCG
rnacentral:lncRNA from 1 species